rnacentral:lncRNA from 1 species
GGAAUAGGAGGUGCCCAGAGAGACAGCUCUGCCAUGAAGGUUGUACUGAUGCCACAGACAGAGCUCUUGUUGCCUCAGCCAGGAAAAGAGGAGCUCCUCUAUGUGUUUCAGGUAAUGCCUGAAAGGACUCUAAUGCAAGGGAGUCAGAGGCUGACACCACCACUGCAGGGACCGGAAGAGCAAAGAUCAAAAGGCCAUUUUCAGGCAAUCAGGAAGUACGGGGAUUACGGGGGAAACCACCACCAGUUACCCCUCAGCCUUCAGCACCAAAGCAAGUGAUUCUCAGAAGGAACCUCACUGAUACUAGCCACCACCUUGAUGUCACAAUACCAGCUUGUCCAUGAAGGAGGUUGUUAUUCCCGUUCCUCAGAGAGGAGACGACACUCAAAGAGCUGUCAAGCUGGCAGCCCAGUGUUUCGUUGGUUCCAAUCCCAGGCGCGGACGUGGCACUGCUCAUCAAACCACGCUGAGGCAGAGUCCCACAUGCCACAACUAGAAGGACCCACAACAAAGAAUAUACAACUAUGUACCAGGGGGCUUUGGGGAGAAAAAGGAAAAAAAUAAAAUCUUUAAAAAAAAAAAAAAGUCACCAUGGCUAAUCUCCAGGUGUUAGAUUAUAGCUAAUUUGUACUUUCUUUUUCACACAUUUUUUGUAUUAUCCAAGUUGUUGACAAUGAGAUUAUAUUACUUUCAUAACC